ACAAAUAAAUAUGCAAAUGGAAUGUGGAGAUCAAGUAGAGUCCAUGAGCCCGAAGGCUGUCAGCGCUGUUCUGUCCUCAACUCUGCCAGCCCAUCAAUGCCCCAUCUGGCCACCCUUCCCUGCACACCCUACACCUCUAGGCCCCACGUUAUGUCACUGACCACUGUGUAGCGUUCCUCCACACCACAUCCAUCACCCAGUCCUCCCCACCAGGUCAUCUCAUUCCAGGCUGGGAAUAAUGAUGCAAGAAACAGGGGAUAGUGAUGAUGAAAUGUGACACCCCCCACUGUCAUGGCUAGACACCAUUAAGAGGAGAUAAAGCUCGGUAUAAACAGGCGGAACGUCUCCCCACAACACCGUCUGCCUCCAACGUCGCUGUGGAGCCAUCGGUCCAUCAGAAAAUGAGAAAUAUAACCACCUUCUCAGAAAUCUGUUGGCACUGGGCUCUUCCAGAAGAACAUGACACCACCUCCAAAUAUCAAUCUCCUUUUCACUUGGCUGAAACAUCAGGCAAUUGUUCUGUGGUAAUGCAAUCCCACUCUACGUAAGUGGAUGAAAGCUCUGGGCUGACGCAGGCAAGAGCAGCUGUUUUGCCUCAAUGUAUCACACUGUAACUUACUUAUACAAGUAUGUGUACUUUGAAAAGUUAAAUUUAUACACUACUGUGCCUAAAGUCUUAGGCAGUCAAAGAAAAUGCUUAAAGCUAUUUAACAGUGUAGUAAGCAUAUAUUUGCUCAGAAGAAAAUGCAAUUUAAUGUUUGAUCUUAUGCAAAUUAACAGUUAUAGGUGGUUUUUUUUUAUAAAAGUUUUAGCCAUGGUAUCAUAAUAUCAUUCCGAGAAAACUGCAGCAUGUUUACACAAUGGAAAAAUUAUGCUCAGAAACCACUUUGCCACAUUUCUGGUGUCAGAAUCUGCCCCUGUCAGCUUCAUCAUUUUACUGUUGGCCAGCAGGUGUCGCUGGCCUUCCCGUAUCUCCCCGAAAUGCUUCAUUGCUUCCAGCCCUAAUGUGUCAAUCACGCACACCUGGCUCUUGUUGGUUCCUCGUUUUUUUGUGUUUAUAUGUGCCUGCCCUCGGCAUGUUGCCGCUUGGGUUGUUAUAGCUGUUGUGGAUGGUAAACGUGCUGAGUGUGUGCUUGUGAGUUUAGUACUGGCCUCUGCUGUAUGUCGGUUCCCCCAGUCCUGCCUAGUUGUUCCUCUCUGCCUUCUGUUUGACCCCUUGUGGUCCUUUUAUUUUUAUUAGUGUCUAUUUUGAUUUAACCAAAAAAACCCUUUGAGUCCUGUGAGGCUGCAUUUGGAGUGUCCCUCUUCUCCCAUUGUGACUUCAGGCCUCCGGGGACUUAUGGACAUCGGGCUGACUUCUCUCAUUUUCUACUGCUAAUGGCAUCUAAUGGUAAUUUUUGCUGAUUAACAAGGGGCCCCAUCACCUCACACUAAGAAAGGAACAAAGAGCUUCUCCAUGCAUACCUGAGCUGCCCCUGCAUGAUCUUCACCUGCAGCAGCAGAUCUUCUGAGAAGGAGAGAGGACACUAACAAUGCCAGCAAGCUCACAGGCAGUCUGUUCAAUAAAGACUUUUCAUAAUGUC